rnacentral:lncRNA from 1 species
CAAAGAGUGGCUGCAAUUAUCAAGGUUAUCAUCUGAAAUUUGAUAUUAUGAUCCCAUUUACCAAAUGAAAAUAAUUUCAAUGUAUAAUGAUCAUAAAGAUUUACUCGUAGAUUUUCAAGACCAUAUAGCGAUGGAGCACAGAAUUUUGUUGAACGAGCUCGUAAAAAAUGCAAUUCAGAAAUGAUAGUAUGUCCUUGUGUUAAGUGUAGGAAUCCAAUGCAUCAUCAUUAUGAUACAGUCUAUGAACAUUUGGUUAUUAAAGGUAUGGAUUCUACAUAUACUACUUGGGUAUUUCAUGGAGAGCAACUAGGUUCAUCAAAUCAGAAUGUUGUAGAAAUGCCUGAGUAGAGUAGGAUGUUUAAGGAUUUCUAUGCACAACAUGAUGUGGAUUCUAAAAACCGUCCUGAUGGAAGAGAUGAAGAGAUUGAAAGUGUAGUUAAUGAUGCUGAAACUCCUUUAUAUCCUGGUUGUAGGGCAUUUACAAAGAUGUCAGCUUUGGUUGCAAUGUUUAAGCAUAAAGCUUCACAUGAGUUAUCAGAUAAUGGUUUUGAUGAACUUAUAAAUCUUGUUUGAGACAUGUUGCUAGAUAAUAAUACACUUCCAAACUCAUUUUACUAGAUGAAAAAACUUGUCAAUACAUUUGAUCUUGGCUAUGAAAAGAUACAUGCUUGCCUAAAUGAUUGUUGUCUAUAUAGAAAGGAGUUUGAGCAUGCUGAAUUAUGUUCAAAAUGUGGUUGCUCGAGAUGGAAUAUUAAAAAAUGGACAAAAAAAAUUUAGAAAAAUAUCCCAGCCAAGGUCUUGCGUUAUUUUCCUAUAAUACCAAGACUGAAGAGGAUGUUUGGAAUAUAUGAGAUGUCAACACAACUUCGAUGGAACUCAAAUAAUAAAAGUUCAGACGGCAAGAUUAGGCAGCCAGUUGAUUCAUUGAGUUGGGAAAUGAUUAAUCGAAGGUGGCUAGAUUUUACAUCUGAUCCUCGAAAUAUUAGAUUAGGUCUUGCUACUGAUGGAUUUAAUCCUUUCAAAGAUCUUAGCUCUAAAUACAGUUGUUGGCCAGUAAUCUUAACUAUAUAUAACUUGCCUCCCUCAAUUCGCAUGUCAAAGGAAAGUUUGAUGUUGAGUUUAUUGAUCCCGAGACCAAAUCAGCCAGGUAAUGACAUAGAUGUUUAUUUGGCACCACUUGUAGAUGACUUAAUGUUGUUAUGGAAUGAUGGGGUUGAUAUGUAUGACGUUGUUACAAAGUCUACAUUUAACUUAAAAGCUCUUUUGAUGUGGACAAUACAUGAUUUUCCUGCAUUUGGAAAUAUAUCUGGGUGGCCCGUCAAAGGAAAAAUUGCAUGCCCCAUUUGUCGUGAGAGUACAUGUUCACUAUGGUUGAAGUAUGGUAGGAAGUUUGCGUACAUGGGACAUAGAAAAUUUCUCACGUUUGAUCAUCCAUUUCGCAUGAAAAAGAGUUGGUUUAAUGGACAUAUUGAACAUGGUAUUAGGCCACAAAUAAAAAAUGGUGAAGAAGAUUUUAUUGAAGUUGAUAAAAUUACAAACGACUGGGGAAAAAGUGGGAAACGGAAGAGGAAGAAGAAUACAACUCAAUCUGAUGUAACGUGGAAGAAGAGGUCAAUAUUUUUCAAUCUACAAUAUUGGAAGGUAAUUGUUGUGAUAUUUCCUUCAUUUUUAUUCAAUACUUAUAAUUGUGUGUAGUUUUUAUGACUCCAUUGGCGUUUGAUUUGCAGACUUUACUUGUACAUCAUAAUUUGGAUGUGAUGCAUGUGGAGAAGAAUAUUUGUGAAAGCAUCAUCAGUACACUUUUGGAUGUCAAAGGAAAAUCUAAAGAUGGCAUUAACUCUCGUAAGGACAUGGAAGAAAUGAAUAUUAGGCACGAUUUACAUCCUCAGAGUAGAGGAAAUAAGUUUUAUCUACCAGCUGCUCCUCACACCUUAUCAAAAGCAGAAAAGAAAAUAUUUUGCAAAAGGCUUGCUAACUUGAGAUUACCCGAUGGCUAUGGAUCUAAUAUUGGAAAUUGCAUAUUGGUGGAAGAAUGUAAGAUAGCUGGGUUGAAGUCUCAUGAUUGUCAUAUGUUAAUGCAACAAUUAUUAUCAGCUGCAUUGAGAGGGCUUCUACCUAAAGGAUCAAGGAAUUCCAUUUUUAAAUUGAGUUCAUUUUUUAAGGAAAUAUGUCAAGGAAUUGUAGAUAGAAAUAAGGUUGAAUAAUUAGGGUUGACAUUUCUGAAAGUUUAUGCAUGUUGGAAAGGUACUUCCUGUCUUCAUUUUUUGAUAUAAUGGUUCAUUUAACAAUCCAUAUUGGGAGAGAAGUUCGUCUAUGUGGACCAGUAUAAUAUUGUUGGAUGUACCCAUUUGAGAGAUAUAUGAAAGUGUUGAAAGGGUAUGUUAUGAAUCGUAGACGGCGUGAAGGGUGCAUAGCUGAACGACAUAUUGUUGAAGAAAAUGCGAAGUUUUGCAGCAAAUACGUAACACAAGCAUCUAAAAUAAGAUCUAAGCCUGUACGCAAUGAAGAAUAUGAGACUAAUUUCCUAGUUGCAGGGCGUACAAUUUCUAAAGGGAAGGCAAUAUACUAUCCAAUGAGAUGUUGAAAGUUGCUCAUCGCUACGUGUUACUGAAUACUACAGAAGUUCAACCAUACAUAGAGUACGUUUAUUAAAUAUAGAGUUCAAUAAUUUUAAGUAGUUAACCAUAUUUUUUGAUAUAUUUUAUUUACCUUAGGAUGCAUAUGGAUGAAUUGAAGAGUUUUAACAAACGACUCGAAAGAAAUGAGACUUUAUUGAACAAGAAGCACAUUGAUGCUUUUUGCUGCCUGGUUAGGUGAUAUGGUUGGAAUACACAUCAACAAAUAAAUGUCUCAAAGUUGUGCUAUUUGUUCUUUUAUUUCUAACAUUUUUAACAUAAUAACAGAUUCAAAUUCAGCUAUUGACGAAUAAAGUUUCGAACAAUUUGAAGUGGCUUGCACGUGGUCCUAGAUAUUAAUCAAUGUCAUAUUCUAGUUUUGUUAUAAAUGGUUUUCGAUUUCACACUAAAGAUGUAGAAAAAUCUCGUCAAAAUAGUGGCGUUUUAGUUGAAGCAAUGACCAUCUGUAGAUCUAGUGCAAAAGAUAAUGCACAAAUAGUUGGGCAAGUUCUUUAUUAUGGAGUUUUGCGUGACGUUAUAGUGCUUGACUAUAAUACGUUUCAUGUUUCAAUAUUCAAGUGUGAUUGGGUAAAUAUUGUGAACGGAAUAAAAAAGGAAGAUGGAUUCACUUUGGUUAAUCUUAACGAAGGACACAAACAAUUUGAAAAUGAUCCGUUCAUUUUGGCAACACAGGCAAAACAAGUAUUUUAUUCUAGGAAAAAUGAAACAUCUAGUUGGCAUGUGGCUUUGCAAGCGCCACAAAGAGACUCUGACGCAUCAGAUUUGGAAGAAGAUACUAAUUAUGAGGUAACUAUUCCACUAGAUAUAUCACAGCCAAUUAUAGACAACCAUGAUGAAGAUGACAAUUAUGCAAGGAUAGAUGUUGAAGGCGUACUAUGUGAUACGUAAAGUAGUUUGGUAACUCCCUUUUUGUAGACAACAUAUUUUUUACAUAAUGAUCAAUUUUUCUAGAAUAUUUUGACAUGUGAUUUAUCUAUCAAUUUAUAUUGCGAUGAAAUGUUGAAUAACAUCUAUUUGUUUUGAUGUUGUAGUUUUUUAUUCUAGCUCUAGAGAACCUUUUCAAUCCGAAAUACAUUUUGUACGAUGGACAAGACUCGGGUAAUUGUGUUUUCUUAUAAUACAUAAGAUAUAUGCUAAGUUUUGAAAAUAAUUUCAUUAAACUUAUGUUUCCAUGUUGUAUUCUCAAAGCCAACUAAACAAACUUCAAAGAGUUCUAAAAGAAGAAGAGCUUCAAUUGCUAAUGCAAUUCGGGAGACAAGUAAGAGACUAAACAAUUCUAGUGAACAAGACAAUAUUAUAACUAGUCCAACUAAUGAUGAGCAAACCACAUUACCAACAACUGUAAAUGCUCCAAAAAAGAAAAGAGGUCCAACACAAGUGAAGAUGAUUCCUGAACAUAAUUAUUAGAAGAUAAAUCUAGAAUUCAAUAAAUAUGGCCAAGUUGUUGGGCAGAAUUCGGAAAAAAUUUCUAGCGUAGUUGGGGCCAUGGUACGAGAACAUGUGCCUAUUGUAAUUAAAGAUUGGACUUCAGUGAAUGAAGAGACUAAAAUGGAGCUCUGGACUUUCAUACAUGUAAUAUUUCGUAACUACCUUUUGAGAUUAUUACGUUGUAUUUAUUUCUUUCUUAAUGAUACCAUUUUCUAAAGUCUUAAAUUCAUGCUUGUGCAUAAAUACAGCAAAGGUUCAAUGUCAGUGAUUGUCAUCAAAGAAUGACAUUUCAAUGUAUGGGAAAGUACUGGAGGACAUUCAAAUCAAGAUUGAGAAAACAAAUUAGAACUCAAGUUGAAUCAUCUAUGAAUAGAGCACGCACUAUUGAAUGUCAACUCUGAAGAAGUCUGGGUUAAAUUUGUUGACGAUACUCUUUCUGCUAAUUUUCAUGUACGUAUAUUUGCAUGUAAAGUUUAACCCUUAUUUUAAUUAUUGUUGUUUUAUACUUCAUUGUUUUUUCAAUAGGAGAGAAGUUCCAGGUUCAGCAACAUGCGAACUAAUUAGAAGCUUCUCCAUACUAUGGGUAGAAAGGGUUAUCCACGUGUGGCUUAUGAAAUGGUACUUCUUACGAACAUAUCAUGUCUUUUUACUUGAAUUGUCCAAUUUCAAUAUAUUUGAUUACUACAUUUGUACUGCAGAAGAAAAAGAAUCCACAUUUAAAAGGGUUAAGAAUAGAAGUAUGGAAAUAUGGACAUCUCAGAAAAGAUGGAAAACCAAUUAAUGAAGCAGUUGCCGAAACAUUGGUAUGUGUAUUAUACUAAUGUUCAAUUAAGCAUAAUUUGAUUUAUUAGUUGUAUCACUUGCUACUAUUUGAUUUGAGUUCCUUAAGUGCAGAAAAAGAUUGAAGAUUGUGCCACAUCAAUUUCCGAUAUGCUUGCAUAAGAUUCUAUCCGUGAUGAUGCUAUAGCUCGAGUUUUUGGUCCCGAACGCUAUGGAAGAGUUAGGGGACCCGGAUUUGGAGUUGUACCAUCAAAAGUGGAUGGAUAAAUACAAAGUAGUGGGAGAGCUAGAGAACUUGAAAGCCAAGUACAGAUUCAGGCACAAAGGAUGGGGGCAUUAGAAGAAAAAAUGGAGGUUUUCUCAGUAGGUUAUAAGUAGUUACUUUUUAUACAUUUUAUGAUUAUAUAGCUUUAUAUAGCCAAUUACAGGUAUAAUAACUUUUGUAAUUUUUGUAUUAUUAUACAAAAUGUGGAGGAUAGGAAUUCAAAUGCUUUUAAUCAGGUUUCCAUUUCCUAUAUUAUUAAAUGUUUAUUUAAUAUAUAUUCAAUUUGUAGCAUUCUAAUUUUAAAAAGAAUACUUUUUGUUUAUUAUGAAUUUGUAGUCACACCAAGGAAGUGGUGUCCAAAGAAGUACUACCCCCAAGACAAAUGCAAGAUGUCAACUGUUGCAUUGGUACAUGUUUGAGGAGGAAGAAGUCGUAGCAGAAGGGAAGAUUGCCACAAGAGAUCCAAGUGCAAAGGUGCAUCACUUGCCACUCGGUCGAGACUGUUGAAAGGUUUGGAUUGAGGAAGUCUAUGUGGGUAAUUUGACCCUAUACAGACCCACAUAUGAAUUCCGCACUCUUAGUGAAGCCAUGGAAAGUACUAUUGCUUGGUCAAAGAGUAGUAUUAGACUUCUUGAUUAAGGUAUUAGACUCUUAGUGGCAAUGGUAAGU